AAAGGUGAGGCAGUCAAAUCCUUCCUUCGCCUUCUCCUCCCAUACUCCUAUCUGUCUGAAAUCCAAUCCUCAGUCUUUACAGUCAGAAUCCAUCUUACGGAUGCUUGUUCUCUUCCCAUCUCCUUUCUCUACAAAUCAGGGAUCUGUGUCAUACUCCCCACAAACCUUUUCUCUAGUGUUCACUCAUCACCUGUGUCGUCCUUCUUCUUCUGAUCUCUUCCCCCUUUUUCUCUUCAUGUACCGGUUCACCUCUCAGAUCUUCCUCUCUCUAUAUCCUCCGAUGGAAGUUGCCGGAAGAAGUGCCCAAGGGAAUGAGUGAAGCUGCCAGCAUGAUCUAGCUCAAGGAUAAAAGCUAGAUUUUGAUCAUAAACCCUCUUGUAGCUUUGAAGGAACUUGGCCAUAAACAUGAAUCCUGGAGAUGCCAAAGAAUGAAAACAUGAUUAAAGGACAUUAAUCCUGGCUAGGUCAUGCUCUGGCAGCUUCAUUUCUUCCCUUGCUGGGCGCAAUAGAUGCACCACCACCACCAUGACAGGGAAGACGAGAAAGGAGAAUAGCAGUUAGCUUACAGAAGAUGGAGGUGAAUCAUGUAUCACGUGCACUUCAAAUCAACAUCCUCCAGGUCCAGUAUGUCUGCUUCCAUUGUGCAUUGAGGUGACACAUCUCAAGUGCUUGCAAUUGGUCUGCUAUGAUCGGGUCAUCAUCAGCAUGAUAAAAAGGUUGCAGUCUCAGCUACUUCAGGACUUUGGCCUAAUCUGGCUCAAGCACUUGCCUUUGCUGUGGAUUGAUUGAUGUUAAAGAGCAUCCAUGUAAAACAAUAUGUACAUUCUAUUCAUGUUGUUUUGCAAGAGCGGGAACAUAGAGGAUCAGUCUUUAGAUUUGCAUGACUUGAAUCCAGCCUUGAAGUCCACAAGAGGCAUUCAGAAUCUUGAUGAAAUAAACUCACAUCUAUAAGCAUUUAUCACCUAUAUACUCAUUUGCACAAUUGAAAGUGAAAAAUGUAGUGAUCUAUUGCACAACAUUCAUGAUUUUGUCACUAAACCUAGUUUGAUAU